rnacentral:rRNA from 1 species
AUGAACCUCUUCUCUCGUGCAGGGGUGACCCUUUGUGCACAUCAAAGGAAGAUUAGGAUCGUGAGCCAGUUCACCAGUACCGGGGUAACACCAUCUACGGUGCAAAGGUCAGCCCCCGAUGCGCACGAUGGCACGGACGACAAGUUAAUUCCGGUGAAGAUGAUAUUCUCCGAGCCACCCACCUUUAGCAGUUGCAUCCUUGCCGCCAUCACCAACGAGCAUGACGUCGCGAUCUGCGGGCUUGGCCACCCGGAGCGUGGAUGGACAAGGCGAAGAUUCGACGGCGACAAGGUCGUGGAUAUCACAUUCUGCGAUGGCCAUCUAUAUUGCCUCGUGGAACCUAGCAAACAACUUGUCAAGUGUGAGGUCAGCUUGACUGCAUAUGGUGUGGCGGGGCUUGGAGCUGUCCACUGGUUGGCCAAGCACAACCAACCAUUAACGUCUGAGACGGAUGCCAUGUACAUUCUUGAGCUGCGUGGCAAGGUUGUGAUGGUGGUGAGAAGAACGGGGAGCGAAAAAUCCUGGCCAUGCGAGCCUUAUUUCUUGGUGUUAGAACUCGUUGAUGCUGAUACAGAAAGAGUGGGGACGUGUCACUCGCACAAGUGGGAAGAGGUGAGAAGCCUAGGCAACUACGCCUUGUUCUUAGGGCCGACGUCUGCCAAGGCGAUGCACAUGUCGAUGGGUGAGCGAGACUGCCCACGAAGAAACCACAUCUACUACAUUCACAAUCAAUACUACAAACAGACAAGUCUGGUGCCUAAAGAUGCCAAUGAGUUCUUUACGAGUUUGAACAAAUAUGGUAACCGUUCCCAUGUGUACUACAAGAAAGUAUACAAUGACAAUGACGUGAAUGACAUUACGUCGGUAGAGUACUAUGUAUUUGGCAGUGGAGACCCUCCCAUGUGGCUUUUGCCUCUAGAUCUUUAG